rnacentral:rRNA from 1 species
AUUGAACGCUGGCGGCAGGCCUAACACAUGCAAGUCGAGCGGAUGACGGGAGCUUGCUCCUUGAUUCAGCGGCGGACGGGUGAGUAAUGCCUAGGAAUCUGCCUGGUAGUGGGGGACAACGUUUCGAAAGGAACGCUAAUACCGCAUACGUCCUACGGGAGAAAGCAGGGGACCUUCGGGCCUUGCGCUAUCAGAUGAGCCUAGGUCGGAUUAGCUAGUAGGUGAGGUAAUGGCUCACCUAGGCGACGAUCCGUAACUGGUCUGAGAGGAUGCUCAGGCACACUGGAACUGAGACACGGUCCAGACUCCUACGGGAGGCAGCAAUGGGGAAUAUUGGACAAUGGGCGAAAGCCUGAUCCAGCCGUGCCGCGUGUGUGAAGAAGGUCUUCGGAUUGUAAAGCACUUUAAGUUGGGAGGAAGGGCAGUAAGUUAAUACCUUGCUGUUUUGACGUUACCGACAGAAUAAGCACCGGCUAACUCUGUGCCAGCAGCCGCGGUAA